rnacentral:rRNA from 1 species
UUCUUGGUCAUUUAGAGGAAGUAAAAGUCGUAACAAGGUUUCCGUAGGUGAACCUGCGGAAGGAUCAUUAAAGAAAUUUAAUAAUUUUGAAAAUGGAUUUUUUUGUUUUGGCAAGAGCAUGAGAGCUUUUACUGGGCAAGAAGACAAGAGAUGGAGAGUCCAGCCGGGCCUGCGCUUAAGUGCGCGGUCGUGCUAGGCUUGUAAGUUUCUUUCUUGCUAUUCCAAACGGUGAGAGAUUUCUGUGCUUUUGUUAUAGGACAAUUAAAACCGUUUCAAUACAACACACUGUGGAGUUUUCAUAUCUUUGCAACUUUUCCUUUGGGCAUUCGAGCAAUCGGGGCCCAGAGGUAACAAACACAAACAAUUUUAUCUAUUCAUUAAAUUUUUGUCAAAAACAAGAAUUUUCGUAACUGGAAAUUUUAAAAUAUUAAAAACUUUCAACAACGGAUCUCUUGGUUCUCGCAUCGAUGAAGAACGCAGCGAAAUGCGAUACGUAAUGUGAAUUGCAGAAUUCCGUGAAUCAUCGAAUCUUUGAACGCACAUUGCGCCCCUUGGUAUUCCAGGGGGCAUGCCUGUUUGAGCGUCAUUUCCUUCUCAAACAUUCUGUUUGGUAGUGAGUGAUACUCUUUGGAGUUAACUUGAAAUUGCUGGCCUUUUCAUUGGAUGUUUUUUUUCCAAAGAGAGGUUUCUCUGCGUGCUUGAGGUAUAAUGCAAGUACGGUCGUUUUAGGUUUUACCAACUGCGGCUAAUCUUUUUUUAUACUGAGCGUAUUGGAACGUUAUCGAUAAGAAGAGAGCGUCUAGGCGAACAAUGUUCUUAAAGUUUGACCUCAAAUCAGGUAGGAGUACCCGCUGAACUUAAGCAUAUCAAUAAGCGGAGGAA